GGAUUUGUCUUCGUUGUGCAUGAACACUUCCGGCGCACUUCAACAAUGGCUGAAUCAAAGGCUAGAUGUCACUGCUCUGUUCCACUUUCCCUGACACCAACCCUACUUAAGUUUUCAUGGAUUCCCGACUGAAUUGAGUCUAUGGAAGAAGUGGAUUCAAGCGGUUCGCCGGGAUGAAGGGCCAAACUUUAAAAUAAAACAAGGUAGCACGUUUGUUUGUAGCCGGCACUUUAGUGAAUCAGACUACACUAACGCUACAGCUAGCAACCAACCGGGGUCACACCAAGCGACUGAAAAUCGGGUCUGUACCCUCCUGUUUCCAGUGGAACAACUGGGGACUGCCAAGAAGUGGGUCUGUUUAUAAAAGAGCAUCAACUCGCUUAGGCCAUGACGUUCACCCAGCCCUUCCUCAUGAGCAACCGCUGCCCUGUGAAUAAGAGCCGAUGGAGGAGAUCGCAGCUUCGGUGGUGAUGACAGAACAUGAUUUCGGUUCUGCUCCUAAACCAGGUGCACUGGAUGCUGCUGCUGUACGCAUACAGCAAUUGGAAGAAACAGUUAAGGAGCUGAUGAGAGCUGUCACAGCUGAAAGUGGUUCAAGACUUCAAGUGCCUUUUCACAGAUUUUGUGUCUCAGACAAGGACAUCCUUUUUUACACCAGAUUCACAUCAAGAGAUGUUUUUUGUGACUUCUGGGAGGUUAUUCAACCAUCUACCUCCAUGUUGGUUUAUUGGUCAAAAGCUCAGAAAAAGAAACAAACAUUUGAACCCAUUUCUCCCAAUCCAACGUGUAUACUGCAACUGGUUGAGUUUUUUUCUCUUCUGAUGCCGGGUUGCUGCAGGCCUGCAAGAGAAGGUGCUGGCUGACAUGUUUCAGGUCAGUGUGUCCACUGUCUCCCAUGUUGUUAUACCGUGGGCCAACUACCGUUACCUGCUCCUUGGCUCCCUCCCCAUCUGGAUAAGUAAACAGCAAGUCCACCAUGCCA